GUGGGGAAUUUUGGACAAUGGGCGCAAGCCUGAUCCAGCAAUGCCGCGUGCAGGAAGAAGGCCUUCGGGUUGUAAACUGCUUUUGUACGGAACGAAACGGUCCUGGUUAAUACCUGGGGCUAAUGACGGUACCGUAAGAAUAAGCACCGGCUAACUACGUGCCAGCAGCCGCGGUAAUACGUAGGGUGCAAGCGUUAAUUGGAAUUACUGGGCGUAAAGCGUGCGCAGGCGGUUUUGUAAGACAGGCGUGAAAUCCCCGGGCUCAACCUGGGAAUUGCGCUUGUGACUGCAAGGCUGGAGUGCGGCAGAGGGGGAUGGAAUUCCGCGUGUAGCAGUGAAAUGCGUAGAUAUGCGGAGGAACACCGAUGGCGAAGGCAAUCCCCUGGGCCUGCACUGACGCUCAUGCACGAAAGCGUGGGGAGCAAACAGGAUUAGAUACCCGGGUAGUCC
rnacentral:rRNA from 1 species